UACGAAGGGGGCUAGCGUUGUUCGGAAUUACUGGGCGUAAAGCGCACGUAGGCGGAUCUGUAAGUAGGGGGUGAAAUCCCCAGGCUCAACCUGGGAACUGCCUUCUAGACUGCAAGUCUUGAGAUCAGGAGAGGCGAGUGGAAUUCCGAGUGUAGAGGUGAAAUUCGUAGAUAUUCGGAAGAACACCAGUGGCGAAGGCGGCUCACUGGUCCGGUACUGACGCUGAGGUGCGAAAGCGUGGGGAGCAAACAGG
rnacentral:rRNA from 1 species